UGGGGAAUCUUGCACAAUGGAGGAAACUCUGAUGCAGCGACGCCGCGUGAGCGAUGAAGCCCUUCGGGGUGUAAAGCUCUUUCGACGGGAACGAUAAUGACGGUACCCGGAGAAGAAGCUGCGGCUAACUACGUGCCAGCAGCCGCGGUAAUACGUAGGCAGCGAGCGUUGUUCGGAAUUACUGGGCGUAAAGAGUGUGUAGGCGGUGCUCUAAGUUCGGUGUGAAAUCUCCUGGCUUAACUGGGAGGGUGCGCCGGAAACUGGGGUGCUCGAGCGUGGGAGAGGAAAGCGGAAUUCCUGGUGUAGCGGUGAAAUGCGUAGAUAUCAGGAGGAACACCUGUGGUGUAGACAGCUUUCUGGACCAUUGCUGACGCUGAGACACGAAAGCGUGGGUAGCAAACA
rnacentral:rRNA from 1 species